CCCAGAACAGCUAGAUUUUUCUCUUAGUCUAUAAUCUUUGAGAAAAAAGGUAUUCUUUCUAGUGGAUCCUCAGGGGACAACUCUUGAGUUCAGGCCUAAAUCAUUUCCCAAAUUAUAGCACAAACCAAAAAGUUUUUAUUCUUGUAGCAUAGCAGCCUUUCUGGCAAAGUAUUUAAAGCAGCUGGGAUCAUCCUGUGGGAUAGAAUGUUGUUUUUGAUUCAGGGACUGAGUUAUGCCUUAAAGAGAGUACAUUUCCCUUCCCCAGGAAAAGUCUCACAUGAGGCCAAAUGUGCAUAGAUUAGCUCAGAUGCCUGAUGUGUGAAUUUUUGAGAGCCAUCCGCGUUAGAGAUAGUAUAGCAGCGGGACUUUUAGCUGCCACUGCUUUGUGGUUGCUACAUCCUCUAUUCACCAUAUAUGAGAGAUCAUCCUGGGAUUAAGACUAGAAUUUUCUCCAGGUAGCAAGGCCUAAUGAAUACAGUGCUCUCUUCAAAACCAGACUGACCUGGGUUCAAGUCCUGCCACUGAAAUAUAUUGACUUUGUGACCCUACAUGAAGAAGCAGAGGCACAGAGAGCUUAAGCUACGUGCUCAGGGGUGAAUGACUAGUCUCUGAUGGGGUAUUUGAAUCUGCAUCUUCCCAUCCCCAAGACCAAUGUUUUAUCCACUCUGCCACAUGUGUGAUGAAAGCUCGCAAGAGGGAGGGCUCUCUGUUGUUAAUCUCUCCAGAAGCCAGGAAAUGAAGGUCAGCUUUUUCCACUUACCAAUCCAAAGUCCAAGGGGAGAAGAUUCAAGAGCAGUCUUACCGGAAGCAGUCUGAGGUCCCAAGCUGGAGCUCCUCCAAGGCCAAGUUUGAAGGAGAAAUAGCUUGUCACAGGAAGCUGAAACUACUUUUAAAGACCCUUCUUUGCGUCACUUCUUAUGCCUUCCUUCCAUUUUAUGUGGACCAAUCACAGUUUUAGAAUUUUCUUAGAACUGCUCAGGAGGCAGUCAGUCAUUUCUGAGUCGUCACCUACUUUAGCACAUGGUUUGUAGACCUCCCCUCACUUAAAUACUUCUGGUGAUUAAAUCUAAAAGUAGGAAGGAGAGAGUUAAUCCCAUCUUCACAAUCCCCCUGUGAUCCUUUGAGAGACUAGUCUCCUCAAUGGAUCAUUUGACAUAAUCAUCUUAUAUCCCUAAAAAUCUUUUAAGUACAGGUGCAUACAAUAUUGCAUCUUCUAAGAGGAAAUUACAAUAGAUAGAGAUAGAGAUAGGAGGGAAAUAGAAGUGAGAGAGACACAUUUAUUCUUAUACUUUCUAAUAUUUUUAACACCCAUUUGGUAUCAAAAGUGUUUUCUGCAUCUAUUGAGAUAAUCAUGUAAUUUCUGUUAAUUUGGUUAUUGAUAUGGUCAAUUAUGCUGAUAGUUUUAUGAAUAUUAAACUAGCCCUGCAUUCCUGAUAUAAAUCCCACCUGGUCAUAGUAAAGGAUGCUUGUGAUAUAUUGCUAUAUUCUUCUUGCUAGUAUCUUAUUUAAAACAUUUGCAUCUAUAUUAAUGAAAUUAGC
rnacentral:lncRNA from 1 species